GCGACCCCGUCUCUUUUUGUUGUGGCCGUUGUUCAAUUCAAAUGAACAUUGCCCAAGACGUUUCGCAAAAUCGCAAGCUUACCAGUGUUUUCGUAACCUCCCGGAAAACACAAUAUCCCUUUACGGAUGGUACCGAGCACGUACGGGGUGUCGAUCGGUGUGCGAGUUUACCACAGAUGUGUCAGUGCGCCUCAUACUACGACCUGGAAACAUUUGGUUUAGUGCAGAACAUCUCUUCUGUAUCGUGUGACACAGCUACCAUAUGUUUGACACAUAACAGCGACUGAUCAAAGGAGUGCACUCUUAAACAGCCAUACCCUUCCUGGGUUUUGUUUCGUCUUUCCAUUACGUGCAUGAAUGGACGAUGUUUUUUCUAAAUCCAAAUUAAGUCUCUACACAUCUUCUGUAGUCACGACAUCACGUGUGAGGACAUCCAUCACAGUCUGAAACAAUGAGUGGUUUUCCAACUGAUAAAGCCGUCAUAAUUCCACCCACUUAAACCGCGAUGGACUGUGCUGCACUUUCUCCUCAUUGCAUCAAAGCGAAAUUCAUUAUCGCAGGAAGUGGAAAUGUGCAAGUUGUACCGCGAAAUUGACGACAAUCACGCACCAGAAUGGCGCCGGGUGGAAUCGAAGACGAAAUGUUAUAAAUGUCCAAAAAAGUACUAGUUUCCACAUGCAUUGACAUUGGAUUAGUAGUGUUAAUAGAUUUGACUAUUAUUUAUUCUUAAAAUAGGACGUAAGUAUGUCUGGCUACUUGCAAGAUGUUUGUUAUCCUAUGUAGUCGCCAGUUUCAUGGGAGUGCAGCAUACUCUUUUUCUUUUAAACUGCCAUCUGUUUGUAUCCUUACUUUAGAGAGCAUCAACAAAACCCACUAAACCCACAAAACCCACAGUGUUUAAUCAGCAUCUAUGGUCCUGUCAUAUGCCCUAGACAUUUAAAUAAGAGGUUUUCACGUACAAAAUCUAUUGUUCGCGAUUUGCAGUAUAUGGUAUGUAACAUGUACUUGUAUAGCCUUAACUUGGGGACUGCGGAUGCUUUCUUUCCUUAUCAACAGUUGGCUGAUUGACUGGUUUCUUGAUGAAUGCAUGGAUCUGUGCAUGGGCGUACGCAUGGAUGGAUGGAUGGAUACUUGGAUAGUUGAGUUAGGUUGUCUUGGGUUGGGAUGGCUAGACGGAUAUUUUGGGUUGUUAGUUUCCUAUUUGCAUAAGCGUACGAGACAUGGGGCGGUGGGCGGGCAACUGCCUCCCUACUGCUGGAGAAAAACCUCAGAUUCUGGCAUAAAUGAUAGAGCUAUUCUGGCAAAAUGUGCUACCCUGAGACCUUAAGUGGGUUUUUUUUACCAUGUAUUUCCAUAAUUUGACUUUCAGAAUUAGUUAUAACCCAUAUAAAAAUGCGAAGUGAUUCGUUUGCAACCCUAUAUAGCUUGUUGGUAGUAAUGCUAAUAUGAAUAAACGUUGUUUUUUAGA